rnacentral:rRNA from 1 species
AGCCAUGCAUGUCUAAGUAUGAAUAUCUCUAUACUGUGAAACUGCGAAUGGCUCAUUAAAUCAGUUAUAGUUUACUUGAUGGUAACCUUACUCGGAUAACUGUACCAAUUGUAGAGCUAAUACGUGCACCAAGUCCCGACUUCUGGAAGGGAUGUAUUUAUUAGAUACAAAGCCAAUGCGGGCUUCGGCCCGGUACAGUGGCGAGUCAUGAUAACUGCUCGAAUCGCAUGGCCUAAGCGCCGGCGAUGGUUCAUUCAAAUUUCUGCCCUAUCAACUUUCGAUGGUAGGGUAUUGGCCUACCAUGGUUACAACGGGUAACGGAGAAUUAGGGUUCGAUUCCGGAGAGGGAGCCUGAGAAACGGCUACCACAUCCAAGGAAGGCAGCAGGCGCGCAAAUUACCCAAUCCCGACUCGGGGAGGUAGUGACAAUAAAUAACAAUGCUGGGCUAUUUUGGUCUGGCAAUUGGAAUGAGAACAAUAUAAAUCCCUUAACGAGGAACAAUUGGAGGGCAAGUCUGGUGCCAGCAGCCGCGGUAAUUCCAGCUCCAAUAGCGUAUAUUAAAGUUGUUGCAGUUAAAAAGCUCGUAGUUGGGUUUCGGAGCGGUCAGGCUGGUCCGCCGAGAGGCGAGUACUGGCCGGCCGCUCUUCCUCUCGGAGUCCCUGUCUGCUCUUUGUUGCAGUGGGCAGGGAAUUCGGGACGUUUACUUUGAAAAAAUUAGAGUGUUCAAAGCAGGCGAUUGCUUGAAUACAUUAGCAUGGAAUAAUGGAAUAGGACCUCGG